CGCAUCUGUGCAUGCAGCAUAUCAAUAAGCGGAGGAAAAGAAACUAACAAGGAUUCCCCUAGUAACGGCGAGUGAAGCGGGAAGAGCUCAAAUUUGAAAUCUUAAAGGGUUUCCCUUUACGAAUUGUAGUUUAAAGAAGUGUUUUCUGUUGAGGUUUUGGUAAAAGUUCUUUGGAAUAGGACAUCAUAGAGGGUGAGAAUCCCGUAUUUGACCUUUACUUUCAACUUUGUGAUACACUUUCAAAGAGUCGGAUUGUUUGGGAAUGCAGUCCAAAAUGGGUGGUAAAUUUCAUCUAAAGCUAAAUAUUGGCGAGAGACCGAUAGCGAACAAGUACCGUGAGGGAAAGAUGAAAAGAACUUUGAAAAGAGAGUUAAACAGUACGUGAAAUUGUCAAAAGGGAAGCGUUUGACACCAGUGUUGUUUUUCUGAAAAUCAAUUAAAGAACUGUUUAUGCUAAGUUGUUUAGACUUUAUCAGCUAACUGUAUUAGUUUUGAGCUUUUCUUUAAUGCACUUUUCAGUUAACAAGUCAACAUCAAUUUCUUUUGCUGUAAAAAAGCUUGAGGAAGGUGGCUUGAGAUUCGUCUUAAGUGUUUAUAGCCUCUUGCCUAUGCAGUCGGAGAGAUUGAGGUCUGCAGCGUAGAUCCUUCGGGGCUAAAUGCAUUUGUGCUAAGUUAUAGCAUUUUAUAGACAACUUGUUGACUAUGAUUUGUCUUGUAGCUUACUCGCUUAUGUUAUUUUACCUACGCUUAGGAUGUUGAACGCGCACAGAGUCUC
rnacentral:rRNA from 1 species